AAGAGGACUUCGAGGGAACUCCCGGCGAAGCGUCUUAGAGUUAAUUUCUCAAACUUUGACUUUUGAUACUUGGUGAGUAUCAAGUGCAUGUGAAGUGUUUAAAUGAAAUGAUUCUUGUACUUGCUAGUUAAUGAGGCUAGGGCGUACUUUAUCGCCCUUGUCCUCUCUUUCAUGAGAUUGCUUGCUUGACAAGUGAUACGUGUUACAUGUGAAUGCAAAUGAAAGUGUUUUUCGUGAGCAUUGAGCGGCAGAAUGUAUCAUGCCCUUUUUGGGUAGGAGGUACCGCUCAUCCCGUCUCAAUGCUAUGACCAAAUCUUGUCGAUUGGAGCUUCGUCUCAUCGACCUAAAAGUGAAUGGGGGGGACGCUCCAACCCAUUGGCUAGCCUUGUAACUCGAGCCGGCAAGGGCUUGGUCGAGAAACUUGGUGAACCUUGGGAAGUGUUAUAGCUUGAUCCAAAUAAGGGGUCUUGCUAGGUAUACUUAUUAAGUGAUACCACCUACAUGCUUGUUUGGUUACGGAUCGGUGUCAUGGUGGCUGGAGGUAGUAAGUGGAGUUCUACAUGGAUAACUGUGAAAGUUGACGGAGGGUCAACUACCUGAGCUUGGAUCGCGCGUGGAUUAGCUCCUGAGAGCUCUCGUAUCCUUUUAUUGUGAUUAAAUUCCCUAAUUGCUUAAUGUUUCGCAGUUACUUGUUACUCGAGUUAUUGUUUUAUAUUGUGUCUUUGCUAGCAUGCUUGUAUGUUUUUCCCUUGGCCUCACUGAGCGUUAGCUCACCCCAAUUUGUUUUCCUUAACAGUUUGGAAGUGGAAGUUUUGAGGCUUAAUUAAUGACCCCCAAAAAUAAUUUUUUCCCACAAGACUCGAGGCCAAAGAAAGCGUUUGUAUUGAGUGAUUAGUGCCUGAAGGGAUAUCUCAUAUAUAAUUUGAAUUCGAUUCACUUGAUAAGUAUUUGAUGUAAUUAUAUGAGAACUGAGGACUUUUGUCUUAUUCGGGGAAUGAUACCCUUACUUGAGAUUUGUAAUGUAUCUUAUCUCGUUCUAAGUUUGA
rnacentral:lncRNA from 1 species